CUACAGCGGUAAAAUCUACACCUAAAAUCAGAAGGCAAAAACGAGGAUUAGAUACCCUCUUAUUCUUCUGGCCAAGGUAGUAACUAGUUAUGUUCUUCAAACCUAAAGGAUUUGGCGGUGCUCUACCCCAUCAGAGGAAUCUGCUGACGAAAUUACGCGCUAUACCCUACCCAAGUGCUUGUAUACCGUCGUCUAGAUAGAAUCAGGAGGAUUUAUCACACCUAAGGCAGAUCAAGGUGCAGCCUACCUGGGGAUUACAAUCCCCAUUAAGUUGGAUUUGAAAGUAAGGUUUAAAUACAGGUGAAUCGGCAAUUGAGCAUGCACAUAUCGCCCGUCACUCUCA
rnacentral:rRNA from 1 species